rnacentral:misc_RNA from 1 species
GCACUCCAAUCAGAGGAAAAGAAGCUUGUCGCUGAGAUAAAAAGAACAGCUAAGACAGGAAAUGAGGCAGCAACUAAAAUUCUAGCCCGGCAACUGGUCAGGCUUAGGCAACAAAUAGCUAGCUUACAAGGUAGUCGUGCUCAAAUGAGAGGCAUAGCUACUCAUACACAGGCAAUGCAUGCCCAAUCUUCAGUUGCUGUUGGUUUGAAAGGUGGCACAAAGGCAAUGGCAUCUAUGAAUAAGCAAAUGGCUCCCGCAAAGCAAGCACAGGUUAUAAGAGAAUUUCAGAGGCAAUCAGCGCAGAUGGAUAUGACGACAGAAAUGAUGUCAGAAGCCAUAGAUGAUGCCUUGGAUGAUGAUGAGGCUGAAGAAGAAACUGAUGAGUUGACGAAUCAAGUGCUAGAUGAAAUUGGUGUUGAUGUUGCCUCACAGUUGUCAACAGUGCCAAAAGGUAAAAUUGCGGGGAAGAAUGAAGAGGAUGUCCGCAGUUCGGGCAUUGAUGAGCUUGAAAAGAGGUUGGCAGCUCUGAGAAACCCUUAAAAAGAAAGAUGUCU